rnacentral:rRNA from 1 species
CCUACGGGAGGCAGCAGGCUAGAAAUUUGGGCAAUGGGGGAAACCCUGACCCAGUGACGCCGCGUGCAGGAAGGAGCCCUUCGGGGUGUAAACUGCUGUCGUGUAGGGAGAAGGGUACUAAGGUGAACAAUCUUAGUACUUGACGGUACUACAGGAGGAAGCCCAGGCUAACCUCGUGCCAGCAGCCGCGGUAAU